rnacentral:rRNA from 1 species
CCCCGGGCCUUGUACACACCGCCCGUCACACCAUGGGAGUUGGUUCUACCUUAAGACGGUCCGCUAACCGCAAGGAGGCAGCCGGCCACGGUAGGGUCAGCGACUGGGGUG